AAAAUGAAACAAUGUGUACAUAUUUUUCAUGCUUCUUUUGUGUUGUUUCCACUGUUUUUAUGUGUUGCAUUUUUUUUCU
rnacentral:ribozyme from 1 species